rnacentral:rRNA from 1 species
UACGUAGGGUGCGAGCGUUAAUCGGAAUUACUGGGCGUAAAGCGCGCGUAGGUGGCCAUGUAAGUCCGCUGUGAAAGUCAAAGGCUCAACCUUUGAAAGCCGGUGGAUACUGCAUGGCUAGAGUACGGAAGAGGCGAGUGGAAUUCCUGGUGUAGCGGUGGAAUGCGCAGAUAUCAGGAGGAACACCAAUAGCGAAGGCAGCUCGCUGGGACGUUACUGACACUGAGGCGCGAAAGCGUGGGGAGCGAACAGG